rnacentral:rRNA from 1 species
UACCGAGGUCUCAAGCGUUGUUCGGAUUCAUUGGGCGUAAAGGGUGCGUAGGCGGCGCGGUAAGUCGGGCGUGAAAUCUCGGAGCUUAACUCCGAAACUGCAUUCGAUACUGCCGUGCUUGAGGACUGGAGAGGAGACUGGAAUUUACGGUGUAGCGGUGAAAUGCGUAGAUAUCGUAAGGAAGACCAGUGGCGAAGGCGGGUCUCUGGACAGUUCCUGACGCUGAGGCACGAAGGUCAGGGGAGCAAACGGG